CAAAGAGUAGUUUAGUUUAGAAUUCCUGCUUUGGGAGCCGGCGGUAAGAGUUAGAAUCUCUUCUCUUUGA
rnacentral:tRNA from 1 species